AGGCGCCUGCAGCAUGACAGUUAAGGCUCUCAUGCCCGUGCGCCGGAAUCUGGUCGCGCCGCUGGGUCACAAGCCCACCGACAUGCACAUGAAGGAUACCGCCGCCGGCGUGCGGGCCGAGUCCAGUGCAGCUUCCCACCUGAUCGGUGAAAACCUUCGGAUCGGUAGCCUACAUAGCGCGACAGGCAC
rnacentral:ncRNA from 1 species